AGAGAUGUUGUGGAGCCUCCUCAGGAGAUAUUCAAGACCCACCUGAAUGCCUGCUUGUCUGACUGCCACAGGGAACCUGCUUUAGCAGAGGUGCAAGACUCUACAGUUGCUCUUCUUAAACCUCAUCUGGUUUCUUACUGCCCAGCUCUCCAGUCUGUCCAGGUCUUGCUGAAUAGCAGCACAACCUCUGGCAUAUCAACCACUUCUCCCAGCUUUGUAUCAGCGUAAUUGCUCACAGUGGAUGCUACUCCCUCAUCAAGGUCAUCAAUGAAGAUACUGAACAAGACUGGACCCAGCACCGACACCUGAGGAACACCACUAGUUACAGGUCUCCAACCGGACUCUGCACUGCUGAUUGCCACCCUCUGAGCUCAUCAGCCAGUUCUCAACCCACCUUGCUAUCCAUUCAUCUUUCCCACACUUUCUUAGCUUUGUUAUGAGGAUGUCACGGGGGACAUUAUCAAAAGCCUUGCUGAAGUCAAGGUAGACCACAUCUAUUGCUCUCCCCCUAUCUACCCAGCUGGUGAUGACAUCAUAGAAGACUACAAGGUUGAUCAAGCACGAUUUUCCCUUUGUGAGUCCAUGCUGACCAUUCCUGAUGACCUUCUUCUCUUCCGAUUGCUUGGAGAUGCCAUCCAGAACAAGCUGUUACAUCACCUUUCCAGGGAAAGAGACAAUGCACGGUCCUAGCAAGUGCUAUGGAGAGCACUCUGCUCAAGAUUCCUGAUGCCAUAACAGCUACUUGGGAUCGGCAAACCAGUCACUGCUUCACCACCCACUCUGCCGUCGGUAAAAUGGUGAAGGUCAUCAGCAAAACACGGGGCCCGCUGCUGUGAACGGUCUUGGGUCUAGCUCAGAGCCUUCUGCCGCGCUCUACACUCCCCUCUCCUGGAGCUAUGAUCCGACCGCGUCAGAUCUCGAUAGCUGCUUUCCCACGGCCUCUGCAAGGACAGCGCACUCCCGCUGAUGACUAAGCAAGCAACCAACCCCUCACAGCUGCACAGCAGGUGAGGCGAUCCCCGCGGCGCGC